rnacentral:rRNA from 1 species
GACGAACCGUGCGAACGUUAUUCGGAAUCACUGGGCUUAAAGCGCGUGUAGGCGGGACGGCACGUCGGUCGCUGAAAGCCCCCCGGCUCAACCGGGGAACGGGCGCCGAUACGACCGCCCUGGAGGGACGUAGGGGGGACCUGGAACUUCCGGUGGAGCGGUGAAAUGCGUUGAGAUCGGAAGGAACGCCCGUGGCGAAAGCGAGGUCCUGGACGUUUUCUGACGCUGAGACGCGAAAGCCAGGGGGGAGCGAACGGG